UUGGAAACAACUCGGGGGACUUGGAAAUAAAGAUUCACCAAAAAGGAAGCCGUACAAGGGAGUAAGCCAAGAUGAUUGGGAUUUUCUUUGUAAUUAUUUUGGCACAAAAAAACAAAUGGCCACUUGAAGGUGCACAUGGAUCGAAAACUUUGGUUCAACAUUAUCACACAGCUGCUGAUCCUGUGACGGGAGAGCUU